rnacentral:rRNA from 1 species
UCCAAUAGCGUAUAUUAAAGUUGUUGCAGUUAAAAAGCUCGUAGUUGGAUUUCUGGCUGCGCCAGGCGUGUCCGCGUUCCAGAAGGGAUGUGUGUACGCGCUUGGCCGGUCACAAUUUCUGGGUGUCCGCGGGGCUCUUGAUUGAGUGUUCGUCGGAUCUCGCCAGAUCAUUUACUUUGAGAAAAUAGAGUGUUCAAGGC